UACGUAGGGUGCAAGCGUUUGUCCGGAAUCAUUGGGCGUAAAGCGCGCGUAGGUGGCUUUGUAAGUCCGUUGUGAAAGUCAAAGGCUCAACCUUUGAAUGCCGAUGGAUACUGCGGAGCUAGAGUACGGAAGAGGCGAGUGGAAUUCCUGGUGUAGCGGUGGAAUGCGCAGAUAUCAGGAGGAACACCAAUAGCGAAGGCAGCUCGCUGGGACGUUACUGACACUAAGGCGCGAAAGCGUGGGGAGCGAACAGG
rnacentral:rRNA from 1 species